rnacentral:rRNA from 1 species
UAACACCGGCGCCUCGAGUGGUAACCGUUAUUAUUGGGCCUAAAGGGUCUGUAGCCGGCCGAAUAAGUCUCUUGAGAAAUCUGGCAGCUUAACUGUCAGGCUUUCAGGAGAUACUGUCUGGCUCGAGGCCGGGAGAGGUGAGAGGUACUUCAGGGGUAGGGGUGAAAUCUUGUAAUCCUUGAAGGACCACCAGUGGCGAAGGCGUCUCACCAGAACGGACCUGACGGCAAGGGACGAAAGCUAGGGGCACGAACCGGAUUAGAUACCCGGGUAGUCCUAGCCGUAAACGAUACUCGCUAGGUGUCGGCCACGGUGCGACCGUUGUCGGUGCCGUAGGGAAGCCGUGAAGCGAGCCACCUGGGAAGUACGGCCGCAAGGCUGAAACUUAAAGGAAUUGGCGGGGGAGCACCACAACGGGUGGAGCUUGCGGUUUAAUUGGAUUCAACGCCGGAAAUCUUACCGGGACCGACAGCAAUAUGAAGGCCAGGCUGAAGACUUUGCCGGAUUAGCUGAGAGGUGGUGCAUGGCCGUCGUCAGUUCGUACUGUGAAGCAUCCUGUUAAGUCAGGUAACGAGCGAGACCC